AUUGAACGCUGGCGGCAUGCCUUACACAUGCAAGUCGAACGGUAGAGGGCUUCGGCCCUUGAGAGUGGCGAACGGGUGAGUAGAGCAUCGGAACGUACCCUGUCGAGGGGGAUAACGUAGCGAAAGUUACGCUAAUACCGCAUGAGACCUUAGGGUGAAAGUGGGGGACUGGAAACGGCCUCACGCGAUGGGAGCGGCCGAUGUCGGAUUAGCUAGUUGGUGGGGUAAAGGCCUACCAAGGCGACGAUCCGUAGCGGGUCUGAGAGGAUGAUCCGCCACACUGGGACUGAGACACGGCCCAGACUCCUACGGGAGGCAGCAGUGGGGAAUUUUUGGACAACGGGCGCAAGCCUGAUCCAGCCAUGCCGCGUGGGUGAAGAAGGCCUCGGUUGU
rnacentral:rRNA from 1 species